GUAGCGCUGCGAUCAGCUUUUCGGCAAUACCCGGAUGGAAGUGUAAUGGCCGCCAUCAGGGACUCGCAGGCAAUGGGGACUACGACA
ensembl:miRNA